GUGUCACUUUGGCAGCACGUGUACUAAAAUUGGAACAACAUAGAGAAGAUUAGCAUGGCCCUGCAUGAGGAUGACAUGCAAAUUCAUGAAGCAUUCCAUAUUUAA
ensembl:snRNA U6 U6 spliceosomal RNA